AGUCUUAUAUUCAUAUCACAUGAUAAUAGAAUGCAAUUCUAUAGGAGUAAAAUUAGUUACUAAGACUU
rnacentral:tRNA from 1 species